GUCCUCAAAGUUACGCAAUUUUAGGCACGCUGACGCUCGUGGACCCACAAAAACACACUCUCCGAUGAUACAGCCUCCCGGGGCCACAGUCUGGGGCGGCGUCUCGGGGCCAGGACGAUUCCCAAACCCUCGACCGCGGCGCUCCCUCCCCGGCGCAGCCCGGCGCCCCGGGACCCGCGCCCCGCCGGCCGCCCGCCAGCACUUUGCAGAAAGCCCGCGGCCACCGUCCCAGGUCCUACCCGCCACCGCACUGAGCCACUCCGUACCUCUUCCUCCUGAAGUCGGCAGCUUGAAAUGACAGGACGCGAGAACUCGAGUAACAUCCGGGGGCAGCCCGCUCCGGGCCGGCGUUUUCAGGGCGCAGCUUCAAACCCACCUCCGACGCCGGGUCCUCGGAAACCUCUGCAGCGUCUCCGCACCCGCCGCCCCUGUUCAGACUCCUCUACAGCCCUUUUCAGACUGUCCUGGAAUUAUUUGUUUACCUGGCUGCUUCUCUUACUCUUUUGGGAGAUCCUUUUUGGAAGACGAGACCGGGCCCUGUUUAUCUGUUGAAUCCCAUGGCUAUUUGAAUACGCUAUCUGGUAUACAGUAGGCGCUCAAUAAAUAUUUGUUGGCUGAGGGAA